AACGAACGCUGGCGGCGUGCCUAACACAUGCAAGUCGAGCGCGAAAAGGGCAACCUGAGUCGAGCGGCGCACGGGUGCGUAACACGUGGGUAAUCUGCCUUAGAGUCGAGGAUAACCUUCCGAAAGGUUGGCUAAUACUCGGUAAGCUUACGGUGUCUUCGGACGCUGUGGGAAAAGUAGGCCUCUGUUUACAAGCUUACGCUCUGAGAUGAGACCGCGGCCCAUCAGCUCGUUGGCGGUGAAACGGAACACCAAGGCAACGACGGGUAGCUGGUCUGAGAGAACGAUCAGCCACACGGGAACUGGGACACGGUCCAGACUACUACGGGAGGCAGCAGUGGGGAAGUUUCCACAAUGGGCGAAAGCCUGAUUGAGCAACGCCGCGUGUGUGAUGAAGGUUUUCGGAUCGUAAAGCACUUUCGACCGGGACGAAAAACCUCUGGCUAACAUCCAGGGGCCUGACGGUACCGGGAGAAGAAGCACCGGCUAACUCUGUGCCAGCCGCCGCCGUAA
rnacentral:rRNA from 1 species